ACUCCGAGCUCUCAUCACCACGCACUCGAUGUCAAUUAGAGAGCCCAGCGACGCCGCCUUCUCAGACCCUCGUAUGCCAUCAGGUACAUGGAUGACCUCCGCGAAGCAGGACGACUGACAUUAUCCACCUCUGCUGCUCACCAGGCUGCUGCGCUGCUAUUUGAAAAUGGUGUGGGCACAGAUUUGGACAUAGAAGCUGGGCAGUGCUCUGUGCCGUCACAGUCAACCAACACAGCGUACAAAGUAAACUUGUUACACUUCACGUGUGUGGAGUGAAGUGUGGAGAGGGUGGCAGACUUCCGCUUCCUGGGGGUCCACAUACAGGACAGCCCAUCCUGGAGUGUGAACACCUCUGAGCUGCUGAAAAAGGCCCAGCAGAGACUGUACUUCCUGAGAACACUCAGUAGGAAUAACAUCACACAAAGACUGCUGGUGUCCUUCUACCGAGCCUCCAUUGAAAGCAUCCUCACAUACUGCAUAUGCAUUUGGUAUACCAGCUGUACAGUGGCUCAGAGGAAAACGCUCCAGAGGGUCAUCAACAGCGCUCAAAAGAUUGUUGGCUGCCCUCUCCCCGCACUGGAAGACCUACACAGAUCCCGUUGUCUCAAAAAAGCCCAGAACAUCAUAAAAGACACUUCACACUCCUGGGCACUCCCUGUUUGAAAUGUUGCCUUCAGGCAGACGGUACAUAUCAAUCAAGGCAAGGAUAAACAGACUAAAACACAGUUUCUAUCCAACUGCAAUAACCACUGUUAAUGCUGGCAAAACAUAAUGUGCACAAUGUUAUGUUAUGUAUUAUGUAAUGACUGUGUGUGGUUGUUUACGGUACAGUCUUAGGUAUAUUUAUUCUUAUUUAUUUGAGUAAUUUUAACACUUUAGUAAUUUUAUCCUUUUUACUGAUUUUUAAGUCAAUGAAUGAUGCACUGACUGGAAGCACUUUAAUAUCGUUGUACCUGUGACAAUGACAAUAAAGAUCUAUUCUAUU